CAAGCCUGGCUAAGAUUCAACCCCACCGGAACAGAGCCAGAAUCGGCCCAGAUCUUUUGCAAGCUGAGCAGCUAGCCGCGCAGCCCACUUACCAGCCCAGGAGGACCACUUUAGAUAUUCAAAAUGAGCUACAGGUUUGGCUCCAACAAAUGAGCUAAUCUAAGACUGAAAGCUAUCUAACUUACAAAUACAUCAAAACAAGAGGGGGAGCCAUUGGACCACACACUCCAAGUUUCAAGUUUGUCAUUUGCACAUCAUGUCAAGACAUACGUGCAUUAAAAUGCUUGGGGUAAUUAAUUUACAGUAAUAAAACAGUGCAUAAUAACAACAAUAAUAAAAAAAAUCCAAUACAAUUAACAUUAUAAGAGAGUAAUUGUGCAACCAUACAAAACAUGCUAAAAUGUAACCAUAAACCAGAGCAUAAGUAUUAAACUGUAGUGUAAGGUAUAGAGGUCUAAUAUUACAAAGUAUUAUAAAGUAUUACAACUAGCAUUAUAAAUGUUAGUGUAAAUGUGUAACAGACAUUGUAAAAAUGUAACAUUAUGUUUAACCUAAUUAUAAAAAGAGUAACUAA